AUGCUCACAUGGUAGGGCAAACACCAUGAUCUUGAUGGUGUUUUCCCUGGAAGAGUGUAUCAAUUGCUCUCUGGAUGUGCAGAACCCUGUUGUUUUUCCUAAUGUGCAAAACUCAAUUGUGUGAUAGCAAGACAUGGUGUCCAAAUACACCUCUGA
rnacentral:snRNA from 1 species